UACGGGGGGGGGCAAGCGUUGUUCGGAAUUACUGGGCGUAAAGGGCGCGUAGGCGGUUGGAUAAGUCAGCUGUGAAAACCACGGGCUUAACUCGUGGCCUGCAGUUGAGACUGUCUGGCUUGAGUGUGGGAGAGGAGAGUGGAAUUCCUGGUGUAGCGGUGGAAUGCGUAGAUAUCGGGAGGAACACCAGUGGCGAAGGCGGACUCUCGUGGCCUGUAACUGACGCUGAGGCGCGAAAGCGUGGGGAGCGAACAGG
rnacentral:rRNA from 1 species